UGACAAUAGCUGAUGGAACUGGAGUUGUUUAGCUGGGAGAAAAGGAGGCUCAGGGGAGACCUUAUCACUCUCUAUAACAAUCUGGAAGGAGGUUUUAUUCAGGUCUUAUGUCUGAAGUAUUUGGUUUAAGUUAUCAUUAGACUGUUUUUGGACUAUUAGUUGUGUGUCAACAGCAUUGCAAAUAUAGUGACAACAUCUGAUUCAUUUUGAAGAUGGAUUGUUCCUUCAGAAUAAAGUACAGAAGUAUGGAUGUCAUGAGGCAAAAACAUCAGUCUCAUGCUUUUGGUUGUAUCUAGGAUUUUUUAAAAAAAUUGUUAGACUAGAAUUAUGUUUUUUGAAAUCAUAUUAUGUUGUUUUCAAAAUCACACGAAGAUGAUCUUGAGGAUUAAAGCAGUAAUAAAAUGGAUAAGUAAAAUUUAUUCUGUUCUCAAGUAAUUCAUGCACUGUUAGGACAAAGGAACUUGAAAUUAUUUCAGAAGUGGAAAAAUAGCUAUAUUGGCUGUGUUCAUGUAGAAAAUAAAAAAAUUACAUAACUAGCAUGGCAUCCCAAAACAAAACAUUCUCGUAAGUGGAUUUGAAAGCUAAAGGUCCUCGUCCAUAAAUCCAUACAAUUAUUCUCUGAUGAAACACAACUCAAAUCCAGGUAAUUUUAUCUUUGCAUUAUGAAAGAGAAAAUAUCAAUUUAAUGUCUAUCUCAACAAAAUAAUUAUCAGCCUUUCUUCUGGAAGCCAGGUCUUAAGAAAGGAAUAGGAAGCAUAGAUGGGAUAAGAGCUAAGUUUCCAAAGUCAUUUCCAGUAGCAGGAUUUGGCUCAAAUAACAUUGAGGCAAUCCUGCUUUCUAUUGACAGACCUCAGUGAUUGUGACUAGACAUGAUGUAAACUCAGCUGAAGCUGUAAAGAGUCCAAUACCUCACCAAUAAAGGUGAGUAGAAGGAAUCUGCACGUUGCAACUAGCUAUAUGUCUUUAGUAUAUCUAAUCCAUGUUCACAUGCAGACCAAUUCACAGAUGCCCAACAAAGACCAUCUCCAAUGGGGUUUUAAGCCUGUAAAAUAUCAAGGCAUUUGUAAGACUGAUUUGCUUUGUUUUCUACCUUCAGACAAGUUUGUAACUAAAAAUUGUAUUUAUGAGGGUACUGAAUGUUUACACUAAAUUUUCAGUUCCCAAUGAUAUUAAGAGCAACUACAUAUGCGCAGACUGAAGUAUGAUUUGAGCUUUAACAAAUAAAUGCAUUAAAAUCUUGGCUAUGAAAAAAAAAACAAACACUAUUCUUAUGGUUUUUCUGCAAAGUCUUAUUUCCCUUAAUUU